rnacentral:rRNA from 1 species
GUUAUAUGGUCAAGUGAAGAAGCGCAUACGGUGGAUGCCUUGGCAGUCAGAGGCGAUGAAAGACGUGGUAGCCUGCGAAAAGCUUCGGGGAGUCGGCAAACAGACUGUGAUCCGGAGAUAUCUGAAUGGGGGAACCCAGCCAUCAUAAGAUGGUUAUCUUGUACUGAAUACAUAGGUGCAAGAGGCGAACCAGGGGAACUGAAACAUCUAAGUACCCUGAGGAAAAGAAAUCAACCGAGAUUCCCUUAGUAGUGGCGAGCGAACGGGGACCAGCCCUUAAGUUGUAUUGAGAUUAGCGGAACGUUCUGGAAAGGACGGCCAUAGUGGGUGAUAGCCCUGUACGCGAAAAUCCCUUUGCAAUGAAAUCGAGUAGGACGGGGCACGAGAAACCUUGUCUGAAUAUGGGGGGA